rnacentral:rRNA from 1 species
GACGAACGCUGGCGGCGUGCUUAACACAUGCAAGUCGAACGGAAAGGCCCUGCGUUUGUGGGGUGCCCGAGGGGCGAACGGGUGAGUAACACGUGAGUAACCUGCCCUUGACUUUGGGAUAACUUCAGGAAACUGGGGCUAAUACCGGAUAGGAGAUCCUGCUGCAUGGAGGGGGUUGGAAAGUUUCGGCGGUUGGGGAUGGACGCGCGGCUUAUGAGCUUGUUGGUGGGGUAGUGGCUGACCAAGGCUUUGGCGGGUAGCCGGCCUGGGAGGGUGACCGGCCACCUUGGGACUGCGAUACGGCCCAGACUCCUACGGGAGGCAGCAGUGGGGAAUAUUGCACAAUGGGCGGACGCCUGAUGCAGCAACGCCGCGUUCGGGAUGACGGCCUUCGGGUUGUAAACCGCUUUCGCCUGUGACGAAGCGUGAGUGACGGUAAUGGGUAAAGAAGCACCGGCUAACUACGUG